rnacentral:rRNA from 1 species
GAUGAACGCUGGCGGCGUGCUUAACACAUGCAAGUCGAACGGAAAGGCCCAAGCUUGCUUGGGUACUCGAGUGGCGAACGGGUGAGUAACACGUGGGUGAUCUGCCCUGCACUUCGGGAUAAGCCUGGGAAACUGGGUCUAAUACCGGAUAGGACCACUUCUUGGAUGUUGUGGUGGAAAGUUUUUUCGGUGUGGAAUGAGCUCGCGGCCUAUCAGCUUGUUGGUGGGGUAAUGGCCUACCAAGGCGUCGACGGGUAGCCGGCCUGAGAGGGUGUACGGCCACAUUGGGACUGAGAGACGGCCCAGACUCCUACGGGAGGCAGCAGUGGGGAAUAUUGCACAAUGGGCGCAAGCCUGAUGCAGCGACGCCGCGUGGGGGAUGACGGCCUUCGGGUUGUAAACUCCUUUCGCUAGGGACGAAGCGUUUUGUGACGGUACCUGGAGAAGAAGCACCGGCUAACUACGUG